rnacentral:rRNA from 1 species
AGUCGAACGGCAGCGCGGGGCAACCUGGCGGCGAGUGGCGAACGGGUGAGUAAUAUAUCGGAACGUACCCUGGAGUGGGGGAUAACGUAGCGAAAGUUACGCUAAUACCGCAUACGACGGUGACGUGAAAGUGGGGGACCGCAAGGCCUCACGCGAUGGGAUGAGCCUAUGUCGGAUUAGCUAGUUGGCGGGGUAAGAGCCCACCAAGGCGACGAUCCGUAGCUGGUCUGAGAGGAUGAUCAGCCACACUGGAACUGAGACACGGUCCAGACUCCUACGGGAGGCAGCAGUGGGGAAUAUUGGACAAUGGGGGCAACCCUGAUCCAGCAAUGCCGCGUGGGUGAAGAAGGCCUUCGGGUUGUAAAGCCCUUUUUGUACGGGAAGAAAUCCCAUUCGUUAAUAGCGAGUGGGGAUGACGGUACCGUAAGAAUAAGCACCGGCUAACUUCGUGCCAGCAGCCGCGGUAAU